GCAGCCUUCCAUAGCUUGCCCCAAUUCAACAGGCAAUUCAAAAACCUAGGUGCUGUUGAAAGGAACGCCUCCCUAAGCCUGAUGUCCCUGGGAUGGACACAGCUGGUCGCCGUCUAUCCUACCUUGGCCUGCAGGGGCCGGGGCCCUCCUAGAGGCGUCCCCGCCCCCAUCCACUCCGAACAGCCGAAAACCGUCUCUAAGUCACCUUUCUGACUCCCCUUCCGCUGCUCCAGCUAGAUCCAGGAGGUGAGUCAACCACCCCUGCCCACUCUGGCAUCCUCAGAUCGCCUCUACGCCCGCAAGAGCAACAAGGACCCCCGGGAACCCACCUAAGAUCGUCAUCUCUCUGGCCAUCACAGUCCCGCCGAACAGGCUUGUGAUGACUGUACCAGACGUGAGGCACCGCCCCCACUCCUCCCGGCAGUCCCGCAGCCCCCUGGGAAAUGUAGUCCGCUUGCUCUGAGGCAAUCGGAGAAGCUAUCGCUCUGACCAAAGCAAGGACUUCAUCUACCGUGAGGGCGCGGGGCAAAGAGCCUCCAUUCAACCGCUGCCAGUGACGACUGAGUCCCCCUUCCACGCAACGGCCGGCAGGACCAGUGAGACUGAGGGGGAGGAGCGCCGUGGCGAGAGACUGGCGUUUAUAAUCAAACCUGUGGUCCCGCGAUCCUACUUGAGGGAAAACAGGCUAUCUCUUUAGCCCCGCCCCGCGCUUUGCAUUCUGGGAAGCGGAGUUCCAGCCUUUCUCUUUCCGCGGGAGGGAAUGAAAGGGAGGGUGAGAACCGUUAGUUAUUUCUUUCUUUGGUCGUGCCCCUAAUCAGGUCCAGGAUUCGAGUUUGUGUUCUUUCGUUUUAAUUCCUUUUAAAGCGCGUUCGUUUGCCUGAGAUCUAGCUUCUAGAUGGCGUUCCUAUAGCCUCCCGGAGCCCCAGCCAUCCUCCGUAGAAGGGUCCCUGCCGCAGUGCGGGGCCUGAGGGAAGUCGGCUCUGGCGUCCGUGCUCCAACGCUGGGAGCAGCCCUGAAACUCCAGUGACCCUCAGCCGUCUGCCUUUGUUUUGGGAUAAAUGAAUUCAAGCAUUCUUCAGUCAAUUCGAUUUAUCCAAGGGAUCAGGGACACAUUUUCUCUAUUGCUAGCACUGACGUGGGCCAUUAAAAACAAAAACAAAAACGAAAUUAAAAAGAAAACCCUUAGCUCUCUCUUCAAGUAAGUCUUAAGUGGCCAAAAUUGACCUUAUGGGCAAGUCCUGUAACGUGACAGCCAUUUUAGGACGCUUGUGACAUGCUGUUCAGGUUCUAGUCUGAAGUAGGAUUUUUCUCGCAUCUUGGUCACUGGUAGCACUUAAUGACUCCUCUGAGAGUGGUUUUGUCAUUUUUGCUGUUAGAGUUCACGAUAACUAAGAUCCUGGAGAAUUGAAUCCAUUUUCUCAGCUUAGAUAUAAAUCAAACCAUCCCUGUUGACAACACGUCAGCCUGCUGUGGGAAUACAUUGCUGGUUAUUUCUGACUUAUCAAUGUGAAUUUUGAUUAUGGAAGCUGAAUUCUGGUUGAUAGGGAUCCAUUGUAAUGUUCUCUCUACUUUUGCGCAUUUUUAAGUAUUUCAUAAUGCGAAAUAUAAAAAGUGUGUGUCUAUAGUGAGUGCUGUUCAAUAAGAUUCUUAUAAGGAGUGAAGAAUUCAAGCACUUAGUUCUUAAGUAUUACUUGUAAUGGGCAGUGGGCUGGAGGUGUUCCAGGCAGACGGAACUCAAUUACCAAGAGCACAGAAGCAAGAGAUCAUCUAUUCCAUAGAUUAGAAAGUGGUGGAUCAUAAAGCAUGAGGUAGAAUUCUGAGAGACAGAACUAGAGACUUAAACCAGAUUAAGAUUAGCCGUCUGUGACAAGCACUGGUCAUUGGGAUUCUCCCUGCCACUCACUCCUUUCUCCUUGCUAACAAGAUCCUGAUUUGUUCAAGAAGCAGGUAAAGAUUAUGUGAUCUCAGAGUAGAAGGCCUUUAGAAUUAAGAUUGAACUAAAUAGGUUGUAUUCAUUUUCUAUUUCUGCCUUAACAAAUUACCACAAAUUUAGUGUCUUAAACCAACUCAAAUCUAUUAUUUUUACAGUUCGGUAUAUCAGAAAUUUGGUAUGGGUCUCACUUAACUAAAAGCAAGUUAUUAGCAAAGCUGCAUUCCUUUCUGGAUGUUCUAGGGGAGAAUCAGUUUCCUGCUAAUUUGAGUUAUUGGCAGAAUUCAUUUUCUUGCAGUUGUAGGGUUCAGGUCUUCAUUUUCUUGCUGGCUGUAACCUGAGAGCUGUUUCCAGUUUCUGAGGCCAUACACAUAUCUUAGCUCAGAGACCCUCUUUCUCCAUCUUCAAAGCCAGCAACAGCGGGUCAGGUCCUUUACAGAGGACAUUUUUUUGCAUCGCUCUUCCAAAUUUUAGAUGUCAUGUGUUUACAUUGGACCUAUCUGGACAACUCAACGUAAUCUCCAUUUCAAACCCUGUAAACUUAUCAUAUCUGCAAAGUCCGUUUUGCCAUGUAAGGUAACUAUUCACGAGUUCUAACAGUUUGAGGAGGCCUUUAUUAUGCCUACUAAAAUGGUUCUGUGGCCCCUCAGAUUCACAUCUGUCCACAUACAAAAUGCAACAUCCACCAAAGUCCCAUCCCAUUAUAGCAUGAACUCAAAGUCCAGAAAGUUCAUCUAUACUUCAUCAGUUCAAAAGUCUCGCAUCUCAUUAUCUAAAUCAACUAAAUGGGGUAGUAACUGAUACCACUUAUCCCUUCUUGUUUGUUUACAAUCAGAGGAACAAUGAAAUACUUAGAUAAGAAUGCUGGUGAGACUAUUCCAGUAAUGUUAUAAAGAACAGAAAAGUCAAGGCACUGGGGUUGGGAAGUAAUCAUUGUUAUCAUUCUCCAAUAGUGACCAAUUAAUUCGUUGUUUUUAUAGUUAUUGUUUGGUGUUUUAUGUUACAAUCCAUUGCAAUUAUUAUCCUUCUUGAUACUUAGAUUGCUUUAAUUUUGGCCGAUGGCAGCCUCUUCAAAAUUCACUCAUGAAUGCUUUUGACACAAUCGCUUUACUUACUGCCUUGCUACCUGCUCUAAAAAGAUAUCUAGAAUCCUCUUAUUUUUUUUUGUUUGUUUUGUUUUGUUUCAUACUUAUAAUUAACUGUAUGUCUAAGGAACCCUGCUUUCUUUUAUUAAGAAAGUGUGGUAUCUGGAGACCAUAAUUUGUAUGCCAGGGGGUUAUUAUUUUAAGGGUGCCAGUUCUUUUUAUAUCUUUGAAUUCAGUGAAAUAUCAAAUAAAAAGCCAGCAGGAUAUUUUAUGACUUGAUAAAAUGACAAUAAAAUUUAUUUGGAAUAUUUAAGAUAAGAAUUUAAUGGGUAUAUAGUCCUUGCGCAUGUUAAGUGACAAAACUACAAACUUAAUACUACAGAGGAAACAGAAAAUGGACUUUAGGCUCAGCAGCAGCACAUGCUUGUAGCCCCAGCUACUCGGGAGACUGAGGUGGAAGGAACACCUGAGCCCAGGAUUUUGAAUCCAGCCUAGGCAGCAUAGCAAGAACCCUAUUGCAAAAAACUAAAUAAAAGAAAUAAAAAUAAAACAGACCUAAGAAGAAAGUGGCAAUCUCUUCAAAAUAAAUGAAAGCUAUAUUAUUCAACAAAUGUAACAGGGCAGUUGGCUAUUUAUAACUUUGAAUGUAAAAAGGGAUAUUAUACCUUAACAUCAAAAUAAAUAUAAAUAGAUAAAAUGUUUAAUUAAAUAACUACAAGUAGUUUUAUUCAUUAACUUAGGGGUAGGAGAAGUCUUUGAAAUUAAGACUUAAAACCUAGAAACAAAUAAGGCAAAACUAAACUUAACAGAUAAAUUUGAUUAUGUAGAAUUUAAGAUUAUCUAGCAGGCAGAAUUACCUAUUUGAAUUUAUAUGAAGUCAAAAGACAAAUGACAAACUGAAGAAAUACUAAACAUACAUCAUGAUCUAUAAUAGAUUUAAUUCCUUUAUGGAGAAUUCCUUCAGAGUAUAAAGGUGUACAACUCAAUUGAAAAAUAAGAAAGGACAUAGACAAUAGAAAAUAAAAAUAACCAACAAACAUGAAAAUAUAUUCUACCUUAGUCACACUUAAAUAAACAUAAAUCAGAAUAAUAACAUGUCAUUUCUACCUAUCUGUAAUCAGUUGAAUUGUGGCCCCCUCCAAAAAAGGUAUGCUGGAGUGCUAAACCCCUGUACCUCAGAAUGUGACUUUAUUUGGAAAUAAAGUUGUUGGACAUAUAAUCAGAUAAUAUGAGGUCACACAGAAAUAGGGUGGUCUGUUAAUCCAGUAUUACUGGUAUCCUUAUAAGAAAAGGGCCAUAUAAAGGCACGGAAACACAAGGAGAAUGCUAUGGGAUGACCAAGGCAGUGAUUAGAGUUAUGUAGCUACAAGCCAAUGAACGUCAAAGAUUGUCAACAAACCAGCAGAGCUACGAAGAGUCAAUAAAGGAUUCCCCUGCAUGUUUUAGAGGGGACAUGCCCAACUCAUAUUUUGAUUUUGGACUUCUAAUCUCCAAAACUAUGAGACAAUAACAUUUUGUUGUUUUAAAGCCAUGCAGUUUGUGAUAAUUUGUUAUGGCAGCCCUAGGAAACUAUAUACUAUCUUACUGGAAAAAUAUUUAAAUAAUGAUAAGCAGUGCUAGUGAAUGUGUCUGUUGCUCAUGAUAGGCCUGUUUGUGGAGUACAUUUUGAAAGGGUAAUAUUGAUUAAAAUGCAGGGCACAUAGACUUACAUUUACAGCCAUUAUUAUAAUGAAUAGAAUUAUUCUUUCUCCACAGAGAAAGAGAUGGAAAACAGCACAAAAUUAGAUGAAAUAAUAGUUUCAGACUUUGGAGAAUAGGCAGAGAAACACUAUGAUCCCUGAGAAAAAAGAGAUAAACCACGUAAAGUCUAUAGUCAUCCUGUAUUUUUAUUGAGAGACACACAUGCAAGACCACAGUGUAGACGAAAGUCCCAAGGAGAGUAUAUGGCCUUGCCUUGUAUAGAAGACACAUACCAGAGUUCAGGCGUUUUGGAAGGAGGCUGAAGUUGCAGCAAAGGGCUCUGAAGAGGUGGUGGAUGUGCCCAAGACACAGGGAAGAAAAAGAAGUAAACAGGGAAGUACAACACAGACUCUGAAAUGGGGCAUCAUGGAAGACGGAGCUUUGUCGUCUUGGUCUUUGCUGUAUAUUCACUUCCUACAACAGUGCUAAAUACCUUGUGGAUGCUUAAAUAUAUUAAAUGAAUGCAUAAAUGAAAAGAGUAAAUAAAGAGUGUAUAUGAAAGUA